rnacentral:rRNA from 1 species
UGGGGAAUUUUGGACGAAUGGGCGAAAGCCGAUCCAGCAAUGCCGCGUGUGUGAAGAAGGCCUUCGGGUUGUAAAGCACUUUUGUCCGGAAAGAAAUCCUUGGCUCUAAUACAGUCGGGGGAUGACGGUACCGGAAGAAUAAGCACCGGCUAACUACGUGCCAGCAGCCGCGGUAAUACGUAGGGUGCAAGCGUUAAUCGGAAUUACUGGGCGUAAAGCGUGCGCAGGCGGUUUGCUAAGACCGAUGUGAAAUCCCCGGGCUCAACCUGGGAACUGCAUUGGUGACUGGGCAGGCUAGAGUAUGGCAGAGGGGGGUAGAAUUCCACGUGUAGCAGUGAAAUGCGUAGAGAUGUGGAGGAAUACCGAUGGCGAAGGCAGCCCCCUGGGCAAGUACUGACGCUCAUGCACGAAAGCGUGGGGAGCAAACGGAUUAAUACCCCUGGUAGUCCACGCCCUAAAANGAUGUCAACUAGUUGUUGGGGAUU